GUCCACGCCGUAAACUAUGUCAACUGGUUUUCGGGAGAUUAACUCUCUUGGUAACGAAGCUAACGCGUGAAGUUGACCGCCUGGGGAGUACGGCCGCAAGGUUAAAACUCAAAGGAAUUGACGGGGACCCGCACAAGCGGUGGAUUAUGUGGAUUAAUUCGAUGCAACGCGAAAAACCUUACCUACCCUUGACAUGUACGGAAUCCUUCAGAGAUGGAGGGGUGCCCGAAAGGGAACCGUAACACAGGUGCUGCAUGGCUGUCGUCAGCUCGUGUCGUGAGAUGUUGGGUUAAGUCCCGCAACGAGCGCAACCCUUGUCAUUAGUUGCUACAUUUAGUUGGGCACUCUAAUGAGACUGCCGGUGACAAACCGGAGGAAGGUGGGGAUGACGUCAAGUCCUCAUGGCCCUUAUGGGUAGGGCUUCACACGUAAUACAAUGGCCGGUACAGAGGGCUGCCAACCCGCGAGGGGGAGCUAAUCUCAGAAAGCCGGUCGUAGUCCGGAUUGUUCUCUGCAACUCGAGAGCAUGAAGUUGGAAUCGCUAGUAAUCGCGGAUCAGCAUGUCGCGGUGAAUACGUUCCCGGGUCUUGUACACACCGCCCGUCACACCAUGGGAGUGGGUUUCACCAGAAGUAGU
rnacentral:rRNA from 1 species